rfam:Populus trichocarpa scaffold_19_contig_434, whole genome shotgun sequence.
UUUGGGAAAUGAUGCCCAGAUUCAAACGAGGCGCCAGCUGUAUAUGCUGAUUAAUCAAUUGCACGGCAGUCUGAUCCAAAA